CCGCCCCAGCCACAGGCCUAACAAAUCGGCUCCCGCCUCCGCCGGUCACCGCAUUGGAAGGCUACCUUUGGUUCUCUCACAGCCCCAGGAAGGAGCCGCCAUUGGACACGGCGCCGGUCCAGGAAGGAGCCCAUUCCGCCCUGCGCGAGGAUGCUGAACCUUAGCAGUCCUUUUGUGGAAUGUUUACACUAGAGACUCAAGCUCAGAGUUCCAAGGCCCGAACUGGAGAUGGCGCGGAGCUCAGCGGUCGAAACCCGAGGCUUUAGGAUUGGAAGGGGAAAAAUCAGUAGUAUUACCACCAUGGAGGACUCACCAAAACAAUGACAGAGAACCCUAUCCUCCCUACCCACUUAUUUUUACACUUUUCACUCUCCUAAAUACAGCCAUCUGGACUAUUCAGCAGCUACUUUCAGCAGUAGACUCCCAAAUUAAGGUCUGGAGCUCUAAACGAUACACAAACCCAGAGAUUACAAGCCAGUCGCCAGGGAUGGCUGCAUACUGGGACACUCCGACAACCUGAACGUGCAGCCCUCAGGGGGCGGGGACAGCCAAGCGGAGGCCUUUAAAUGUCACCGCCUGGGCAAGCCUCCGGAAGGCGGAGCAUGAGGCAAAAUGUAUUCCCUAUUGGCAGGACAGAUCUAGAGACAUUUUAGGCCAAGGGAACUGAGAUGCAGAAAAGCUCAAACAGACCACGGUAUAAAUAAACCUUGAGGGUGCAUUCAUAUUCA